rnacentral:rRNA from 1 species
CUACGGGUCGCUGCAGUCGAGAAUCUUCGGCAAUGGACGCAAGUCUGACCGAGCGACGCCGCGUGCGGGAUGAAGGCCUUUGGGUUGUAAACCGCUGUUGGUGGCAAGGAAAUGCUAGGGGGCUAUCCCCCUAGUUUGACCUACCCACUGAGGAAGCGCAGGCUAAGUUCGUGCCAGCAGCCGCGGUAACACGAACUGCGCGAACGUUAUUCGGAAUCACUGGGCUUAAAGAGUGCGUAGGCGGCUUUGUAGGUGGGGUGUGAAAGCCCUCGGCUCAACCGAGGAAUAGCGCUCCAAACCACAAAGCUUGAGGGAGAUAGGGGUGAGCGGAACUGAUGGUGGAGCGGUGAAAUGCAUUGAUAUCAUCAGGAACACCGGUGGCGAAGGCGGCUCACUGGGUCUCUUCUGACGCUGAGGCACGAAAGCUAGGGGAGCGAACGGGAUUAGAUACCCGAGUAGUC